GGAUGUUAGGGUGAUCUGGCUGAGACAUCUGUCACUCCAUUGAUCAUCAGGGUUGAUUUGGCUGAUCUGGCUGGCUAGGUGGGUGUCCCCUUCUUCCCUCACUGCUCCAUGCAUGUCCCUCCUUAAGCUGCUCAUUUGGGAGAAGAGGAUGAUCUUCCCCAAUAGAGGAGGACCAUUCUUCUGUCAAGGGUAUACGAGUAGCUGUGCUCCCCUGCUAGAAUCUCCAAACAAGCUCUCAAGAAGGAGGAAGGGAGGCUUUAAAAGGAGAU
rnacentral:snRNA from 1 species